GGUGGCUCAGUGGUAGAGUGCUUGCCUUGCAUGCAUGAGGUCCUGGGUUCGAUUCCUAAGCACCG
rnacentral:tRNA from 1 species